AUUGAACGCUGGCGGCAGGCCUAACACAUGCAAGUCGAGCGGAUGAAGGGAGCUUGCUCCUGGAUUCAGCGGCGGACGGGUGAGUAAUGCCUAGGAAUCUGCCUGGUAGUGGGGGAUAACGUCCGGAAACGGGCGCUAAUACCGCAUACGUCCUGAGGGAGAAAGUGGGGGAUCUUCGGACCUCACGCUAUCAGAUGAGCCUAGGUCGGAUUAGCUAGUUGGUGGGGUAAAGGCCUACCAAGGCGACGAUCCGUAACUGGUCUGAGAGGAUGAUCAGUCACACUGGAACUGAGACACGGUCCAGACUCCUACGGGAGGCAGCAGUGGGGAAUAUUGGACAAUGGGCGAAAGCCUGAUCCAGCCAUGCCGCGUGUGUGAAGAAGGUCUUCGGAUUGUAAAGCACUUUAAGUUGGGAGGAAGAGCAGUAAGUUAAUACCUUGCUGUUUGGACGUUACCAACAGAAUAAGCACCGGCUAACUUCGU
rnacentral:rRNA from 1 species